UUUGGGAAGCCAUUGUGAUUGUCUCUAGAAAAGGCUCUGUAGAUAAGUUAUUUUUUCUUGGCCUCCCGCUGGUCUCAAGCCCUUCAAGAAGAGGUUCCAAAUUUUUGUUGUUCCUAGUUCUAACACAAUCCUGCAUAAACAAAAUACAAAACCCUAGAAAAUAUUGUUAGCACAAAAAAAUAAAAUAAAACAAGAAUGGAGAUUGGGGAUUCAAAAAAUAAAAAUAAAUAAAAUAAAAUAAAAUAAAACAAAGCCAAAAUUAAUGAAGAUUCACACAAAUAGAGUAGCUUAAAUCGUGAGUCCCCGACAACGGCACCAAAAACAUGUUAGGGCAAAUUGGCAAGUGUACUGAGUCGCACAAGUAAUAUAAAAUGGUAAGACCAAGUACCGUAUCCCAGAG
rnacentral:lncRNA from 1 species